CGGCGCUUGCUGCCUUGGCUUCGCACGCUCCAUCUCCUCUGUUGAAGAACAAUAGCACCAUUCUGGAUUAGGGAUUCCUAAUAUGGAGUGCUCGGGUCUGUGGGUCGGUGCGCGCUCCCUCCGGAGCACGCCCAGCUGCUGCGGCGGAGGAGCAGCAGAGGGCAUCCCUCCUCCUGCCCGGGGCAUCCCUCCUCCUGCCCGGGGCAUCCCUCCUCCUGCCCGGGGCAUCCCUCCUCCUGCCCAGGGCUCCCCGCCGCUGGGACCCGCCAGCCCUGCGCUCCACACCCCGUGCUGGUGCUCACCCGGAGUCCUGCCCGCUGCCGAGGCCGCCCUGACCCCCUGCUUGCAGGAAUCAGCUUUCUGCGUUUGACCUGAAAGUGGCUCUAACCUGCCUUGGUCCUCCCCGGGGGACGAGCUGCGAGCUGUCACCUGUCGCUUUGGAGGAUAGCUUGCUUUUCAGUGGUCCCCAAAUCCCAUGGAUGUAUUUAGUUCAUAAAAACAUCGUACUGGCCUCCCUGUGCUGAACAUGAGGUUGUUUUUAAGGAGGGGAGCAGAGCAUGCGUAAGGUCUUGAAAGCUGCAGCUCGCUUGUAAAACGGCAUGUUGGAGUGAAAUACCCAUGCUGAGGUGACUCGUGGAGAAUGGAGGGGUGAUCUUCCAGGCCUGCCUCCCGGAGGGGAAGGGAUGCUGGCUGGGAAGCAGCAGUGUGCACUUGGCUGCCGCUCAAGAGUUCUGCUCCUGCACCCUCCUGUUCUUCCGCUGCCUGCCCGGGCACACAAGUCGACCUGGGGACUGCUGGGCUGGAGGGGAACACGUGGAGAAAACAGCGUGGUGGGUGUUUGCACACAGGGGGCUUGGGGGUGUUCUUGUUUACCACAGCUCGAGGCCCAGGGAUGUUGCUGGCGCCUCAUCUGCUCCUCGAUGCAUUGUCAGCAGCAGUGGCCAAGAUCGUGAUUUCUCCAUCUGCGUCUGCCCCGAGUCCCGCGCCGCGAGCUUCGUUCCGCGAGCCAAUUCCGCUGCCCUCUCUGCCCCGGGAUCGCUGUGUGUGCAGUGCCAGACCCGGACUGAUCCCGGGCGUGCUGGGCUGGGCUGUGCCUCUGCUUUAUUUGGGGAACAUCUCCUGGAACGUGCUCUGCAGAUGGCUCUGGCCAUUGCCUCAUUCAUGCAGUGGCUCUCUGGGUGUCCCUAAGGUGGGAGGCUGCUACAGCCAUUGGGGCUGGGCUGGCAGGCUCCGCUCCUGCGUGUCCCCAAGUGUGAUUCUUCAUGGGCAGACUCCCUCCCUGCAGUCUUGGCCAGACUGCCUGACAUCCUGAGGCUCCUGCAGAUCCUGUUUAUUUACACAGGAGGUUUUGGUUCAUGCGAAUUGUUGUCUUUUAGUUGACCUUCCGUCAAGUUAGAUGUCUUUAUUAAAGCAGUUUUUAUUGCAGAUCGAAUGUGUACUUAGAACACUUCUACCAGACCCAUUAUAUAAAGUGAAAGGGAAAAUAAACAGUGCUGCAGACCGCAGGGAAGGGGGUGGGAGAGAGAGGGUCAUAGGGAGAGCAUCACUUCGGUGUUGGGAGGCUUGUUGAGUUGGUUUUUUCUUUACCAGAAAAUUGCCUUUUUUGGAAAAAAAAAUAUUUUGAAGUUUUUUCUUUUGGUCUUUCUUGGUUUCUUUCUUAUCCGUACAAACCUGAUCAUGCGUUCUGUCAUUGAUUUAAAGGUUAUACAAUCUAGUUUGAAGCCAGAGGUGUUUUCAUUGGUUUACCUUGGGUGAAUCAGAGUGCUGUAACCUCAAACAGUGCUCUUUACUGUCCAACAGUUAGCAAUCUGCAGGAUUGCUGCAGGAUUCCUCCUGCCCAGAAACUUAAAGCACCAGUAAAAUCACCUGAAAGAUGGGAAAAUUUUCUAGCACAAUAGGGUUUUCUUACUGCUGCCAGGGUUCCUCAGCUCAUGAUUUGACUUGUCUACUGGUAUCAAGGGUGUUUAGGCCCUCCAACUAGUGUCUGGAAAACUACUGUACUGUGAUUUGCCUCUGGCUUUGAAGUUCCUAAAUACUUCUUAAUGAUAACCUGUUAAAUGGGUUUUGUCUCCAUUUUUAUAUUGGUAUUUCUUUCCUAGUCAUAUAAAAUCUUCUUAAGGAAUAGUUCUCUGUGUUAGAAUAUUAGGAGACGUUUAGCAUCUGUUUCUUAUCAGCCAUGGAGAGGCUAAAAUGGAGCCUUUCCUGACAAAGCUGUGUUUGAUCACAUUGCAAGGCAAAGAAAUUGGGUCUGCAGCUGCCUUUGGUGGGUCUGGAGUGUCUCUGUGCAUCUAUGUCAUCAUGUCCUGCUCUAACCUGUUGCUCACCCUGUCUCCAUCGGGAGGAACAUGUUUCAAAUUAUAUAAGUCAGUAAGCUUUUUCUUGUUAGGUUUAAUUAGCAAGUGGCAAAGAGACAAGAGGAAGUCUUGCCUUUCUGACUGUUGCUAAAGUCACAUUUCAGUAAGUAAUUGGACACGAGCACAAAACCAGAUCAUCUCAGUGAAGUGAGAUGCCUUACUUGGAAAGGGAAAGGCGUUGACACUCAGGACUCCUACCAUUGCUGCACAGUACUUAAACUUAACUACCAAAAAGCAGGGAUGCUCCUGAAAGGAGGUGUUCCAGCCUGGUUCCUGCCUGGUGUGGCAGGCAGGGGAGGGUGCGGGACAGGAUGGUGACAUGAGGACCGGUUGGAGGGACUUGAUUGAUCUUUAAGGUAACUUGAGAUCAAUCAGUAAAUAUGUAGAGGGACUGUGUGUGUGUGUGUGUGCCAUGAAAGUAAAUCUGUUUUUCAUGUGGUCCUGCAGAUGUUCAUGGGAUCCCAGGGGAAGGGGGUACUGCAGAGGCAGGUGGCUGGAGGGCAUGGCAAGUUCUUAAAUCUUACCAGCCCUUGACAGAGGCUGCCUGCUCUGUCCUGCUUAACAUUUAGUCUGUAGUUUCUGUCUGAAACAGCUGCCUGAACCCUCCUAUGGUUCCUCUUUCCUGGUUUUAUUCCUGUGCUGGUAGUUCCUUGGUGUUUCUAGGUCCAUUUGUUGUUCUUACUGGGCAAUGAUCCAUAGGGAUGGAAAAGGUGGUGCACUGCAAAGUGGGGGAGUGGGGAAAGGAUCACAGACUGAUGGAAUUAUUUGGGCUGGAAGGGACCUAAAAGAUCAUCUGGUUCCACACCCCCUCCAUGCCAUGGCCACCCACUACACCAGGUUGCUCAGGGCCCAUCCAGCCUGAUCUUGUGCACUUCCAGGGAUGGAGCAUCCACAAAUCCUCUAGGCAGCUUGUUCCAGUGCUUCAGCACCCUCUGAGUAAAGGAUUUCCUCCUAACAUCUAAUCUAAACGUCCCCUCUUUUCAUUUAAAACUGUUCCCCCUUGUCCUAUCACAAUCUGGCCAUCUAUAAAGUUGUUCUCCAUCUUUUUUAUAAGCCCCCUUUGAGUACUGAAGGGCUGCAAUGAUGUUUCCCUGGAGCCUUCUCUUUUCCAGGCUGUAAAAAAAAAAAAAAAAGAAAAAAAAAGAAAAGGAGAAAAAAAAAAAAAAAAAAAAAAAAGAUGAGCUAAGGGAAAGCAUUAGUGGGAGAAGGAAGGUGAAGAACCCAGCUGGUAAGAAAGAUAGAGGAGAGCAGGCUCUGAAGGAUGGAUCUUGCCAAAUGCCAGGCCUUAUAGCAUGCCUGUAGCAUUUCAGGUGUCAAAGACUCCCAAGUACAAAAGAAAAGAAACUCAGAUAGCGAGGAUCUAUCUGUAUUUGUCCUGUUCCUGAGCAGUGUACUUACCACUCCUCUUAGCUGACUUCUUUCCAAACAAGAUAUUGAUUCCAUCUGGGACUUGAAAAAUCAUCUAGCACUUCUCCUGUCUCUUCUGAUUUUGGCAGACUUAAGACUUUGCUGGUCAGGAGGGGAUGAGGUUGCUGCUGAAAUGCAGGAAUAAGGAGAUUCCAGUGCAGUUUCUGGUGACAAAGUUGUCCCAGUUGGGAUCCAGAGCAGCAUCUGGGGCAGCUGCACAGCCAUUAAAACUGUCAGGCAUUUCACUAAUGCCAUUUUUUGCUUUACUGUUCUGGAUAUUAUUUUUCUUCCCCUUGCAAAACAGCUCAUCAGGCUCUGAUGUGUUUGGAGGUGAUUUUUGAUGACUGUUGGGGCACUGCUAAGUUUUGGGGGGUUUUUAACUAGUGGCAUGAGUCUGGAAUUGCUGUCAUUUGCCUGGUGUUCCCUACUCUGCUCACAGAAGCUGAUAGUUUUGCUUCCCAGCAAAUAUGUUCUCUUUUAGAGUCAUUGUGAUUACAGGGGGAAUAACAGGGAAUGUUGGUGCAUCUGGGGUUUUUUUGGGGUGGUUUUUUUUGGUUGUUCCUUCUACAUUGUGUUCCUGAUGUAUCUGCCUGAGGCCUGCUGUCACUUUUAUGGCUUUUGGGCUUUGUGUGGAAGUUGAUAAGCUUGUCAAAGGGAGAUGGGAGCAGGGGGUGAGGUAGAUCUAUUUUUCAGCAGACUCUGUAGUGCUUUGAGAGUGGCUCAGCAAUGACCCAGGCUGCUCUGAAAUGGGAGGUUUCUGAAGCUUUUAGGGAAAUGGAAGCUUGAAGGUGAGAUACUGAGCCCCAAAAUAGCAGAACUUUUGGUUGUUUCUUUGGGAAAGAAGGGCUCUGAUCUCUCAUGACAGCAAGGUUAUUAAGAUUUGGCUGCUUAGAUAAGUUAGGCUUUUUACAUCUUGGAUUAAUCAUUUUGUCUUCAUUCAGCAUCAGUACCAUGAACAUAGGAAUCUGCCCAGAUUCCUUUAAAUCCCUCCGAAAGGGAGGCUGGACCUUGAGUAUGACUAUGAGAAGGCAGUUGUUUGUUGCCAGAAGUCAUCCAGAAGCUCAGUACUCUGGAAAAUCAUACUGCUGGAAUCUGGCACUUAUUAACUCGAGUUACCCAGUACCUAAGGAUCCAGCCAAAGGGCUCUGGCUGGCUGCCAAGCUGAAAUUACCAACCUGGGUGUCAGGCCUUGUUGGUUCCUUCUUGAUAGCUUGAAAUAGGAGCUUCCCAACUAGCAUUUGUGUGCUAGCCUCUUUUCUAGUCAUAUUUCUUCUUACAGCUUUGUAAAGUGUUCGAGGUAAUUAUAGUACUUACUAAUAUUUAUUCUGUUCUGAGCAAUUAUCUGAAUGCGUUUAUCUCCGGUGUGCUUUCAAAGUGCUCUGCCCCCUCUCACCGUAUCAUCUCAUCUCCCUGACUCAGUGCUUUCUGCUCCUUCCCCUCUCACGCAUAGUCCUGGGCCCUCAGCUUCUUCCACCCUCCCAAAUACGCUGUCAAGCUUUCUUUCCUCUCCUGGAGAUUCCCGGAUCCUGUUUUCCUGCUCCGCUGUCUAAUCCCAUUACAGAGGAGGGAUGUUUGCUCCUUGUGGGGGAUGAGUGCUUAACUGCCCUGCCAGGUGCUGAGGCGCUUUCCAAGGAAGGACAUGGAUACCAAGGGAAGCUGGGCUGGCAUUGUGCCACCUCCCAGCUUUCUGCUGCCUGCUCGUGGCCUGCAGACAAUAUCUUGAGAGCUCCUGCUGAAGGGUUUGACCUUUAUGCCUGCAGUGUUACCCGGCGCCUACAGCAGGAGUCACAGCGUGCAAAUUCCAGUGCUUUCUUCUGACUUGUGAUACGAUUGUAGGCAAGUCACUCUGUCUCUGUUCUUGGCUGCUUGAAGGAGAGAGAGAGUGGCUUAAAAGGUGUCAUGGGAUUUUUUGGGACGGAGAUAUGCAGCGUUAGGGCUGAGGUCUUGUUUGCUGUCUGUAAGCAAACAGGCUGCUUUUCUUCUUAUGCAUGGAAGAAAAUGUGGCGUGGAAGAGAUUGUUACGGCCUGAUUGAUUUCACUCCUGGUGUUAGAAGAAGAAGAAGAAAAUUGAUUUUUACUUUGAGCUCUGUGGUGUUACCUACCUGCAGGAGCUCUCUUGCCCAUCCUACCUGAAGGAGAGCUCUCCUCGCCGGCCCGUGAGGCUGGUGGGGCACAGCCCGUGUGGCUGUAACGUGGAGCUGCUGUGCUUCAUGCCAGGCAUCAGUGUCACAGCAGCGCAGUUAAUCUGUGGGUCACUGCCACCUCAGGAGCUGUUACGUCUAAUCAGUCCCAUGCCAUGAGCUGGCUGGCAGUUAAAUCUAAUCUGGAAUGUGUAGCUGCCAAAUGCUUGAAGUUUGCCAAGCACUUACUCCUUUCUGCUGUGAAUGAGCUGGACUUGAACAAGAUCAGCUUCAGGUGCUUUUCCUGUGACUAGGACUCAGAGUCCAGCCUCAGAUACCUGUUCUGCAGAGGGGCAAAAGUUGUGCAGAGUCCAAAGGGCUGCAAGGAGCGUGGCAAUCUACCUGCUCAUCUUCAUAUUUAGAUAUCAAAACAUGCUUUUCUCAUCUCACGUUGCUUUUUAUCCCACCUCUUCCCCUUGCUUACAUGUGAGGAGAGGUGUGUUCAGAGGUGAUCUUUCAGAUACUGCCAUCAUCAUUAGAGCAUAGAGGGACCUCAUCUUGCAUCUUUUAUAUGAAUAAGCCUUGCAUGAGAUGUCUAGUUUUUGGGUUUAUUUCAUAAUUUCUGUUGCUCUUACAUCUCAUCCACUCCUCUGGAAUUGUCCAGUUGUGCCUGCAGGGUCCCUCUGCAGAUGCUACCCUGUGGCUGCCAAGUGAAGGAAGGGCAGCACUUACUCAGUGGUUGUUCUGAUUUGUGCCUCUGGUGUUUGGGCUAACUUUUUUUGUCUUUCAGUCUUUGCAGGGAAGAAUGUGGCUGCAAAUGUGUGGUGGGAAGGAGGUUUUUUUUCCUCCUGGAGCAGUGGGGUAGUGAGUGAGAGUCUGAGACUGCCCUGAGAAGCAUGGGGUAGUGUAGGGGAAGCAAGGGGCUCAUCUCAAAGAGGUUUGUCACCUCUUCUCACAAGCCUGCCCCUGUUAAGCUAUUGUCACCCUUCUUCUGGCUCUUAUUUGCAUCUCCUUGGUUUUUUGGGCUGGCUUGUUUUGGGGGAGGGUGUAGGGAGGCGGGAGGUGAAUGUGAGGAAAGAUUUUGCUGCGUGUCAAAUGCCUAAUAGCUGCUGUAGCAGAUCCACUGGGAUACAUUACUGAAAGCAUCCUAAUGAUCUCAGUGUAAUGGAUUUGAGCCUUGGAAGCCCACUUGCUGGGAAGGGGAUCCCAGAGCUUUGUGCUUGGCUCCUGGAGGUUGAGGGCUGGGUUCCUGGCAGCAGACAGGGCAGGCAGCAGGAGCUGCCUCAGAAUCACAGAAUCAAUUAGGCUGGAAAAGCCCUCUGAGGUCAUUGAGUCCAACCUAUGACUGAACACGACCAUGUCAGACCAUGGAACUGAGUGCUGUGUCCAGUGGCACCUUCAAGGGUGGUGACUCCAUCACCUCCCUGGGCAGCCCAUUUCAAUGUUUCAUCACCCUCUUUAGGGUACCCAUCCCUCCUUGAGGAAGUGUCAGAGAGAAGCCAUAUGCAGGGCUUUGGCGUGGCAGAAAAAUUACUCAGGAGGAGGCUUGGCCAGGCACCAACUCCUGCUGUUACCUCAGAAAUGUAGAUUACCAGAGGCUGCAGUUGUGUGGGUGCCAGCUAAGUCCCUGAAGAGAUGUAAUCUGAGGAAAGGGUAAUUUUCCUUACAGAGAUAUCCGGGUGUUGGUGGAAGAGGGAGAUGUGCAGAGGAGCAUGACCAUUAACUGGUACCAGCAGCCUCUAAACCUGGCUGCUGGCAGCACAUGUGGGGGAGAUGUGCUGGGGAAAGUGGCUCCCACCCCAGCUGCAGGAGAUGCACCUGGAUCUGCUGCUCCCAUUCCUCUAACCACUGCUGUUCCUGAGGUGGCACCAAGUAGCCUUCUCCUCCUGGUACUGGUGGUGGCCUGGGAAAGAGGUGGGCUGUUUCUUACCUGCAAAAAUGACAGGAUCAAGGGUCACAUGAGAAAGGAAGGUUGAUCAGUUCUGGAAGGUACUGGUGGAGCUGUGAAGACCCCCUACAGUAUAGGUGGGGAUGAUGGAGAGGGGGUAGAAAUGAGGGUGGGAGACAGCAGGGAGAGUUUUCCAGUGGAUGGACAGAUGUAAACGAAAUGCAUGUACGUGAUCUUAAAAGUGCUGCAGUAGAGAUUCUCCAUAGUUACUGGGGUGAUCGGCAUCAUUUUCUAAAUCGUCCUCCGUAUGUGGAUGCGAAUCUUGAGUGUGGGUAGGGUGAAGUGAGGCUUCUGGGGAAGUAUGCUAGUGGGAGGCUAAAAAUAAAUUAUCAAAAGAAAGAAUUGAGAAAUUAACAAAGCUAAACGGAUGUAUGCAGCUCUAAGAAAAGGGUGUCAUAUUUGAAGGCAUAUUUUUGAAAAUCCAUUUGCUUAGUCAUCUUACAGAUAACUUAGCUAUUUUUGCCUUCUUUGCUCUGAUGACACUUACUGUCUAUAUAAUAGGUUUAGCAUCUGCAUUCUUUUCUAGCGUAAAGGGAAAAUAUAUCUACUAAUUUUGAGUUGGCUGUGUAGAAUUGCUUUACCUCUUGGCUGUGAAAUAAAUAAGAUACUGGUCCUAAAACUAUUUUAAAGAGAAUAGUUGGCAUUAUUUUUCUUCUAAGUCAUCUUUUUAACCCAUCUGCCAAUUCUGCAAUUGAAUUUGAAUAGUGAAUAUAUACCCUUGCUAUUUCAUGUGCAAUAAUAACUGUGCCCUCAACUGCUCCAGACAUUAAAGUGAUGAUGUUUGGGUUCAGCACAGUUAUCUACUGGGCAAUGAAUGCAAGAUCAAGGACAUUUGCAGGUUUUUAUUUCUUUGUGUUUGCAGGGGCUGUGGCACUGCUAGUGGGUUGCUCACAAAUGGUGUCUUAGAUUACCUCUUUUGCAGGCAGCAAGAUUUGCAUCUUGCCAUUCCUAUUUGAUCUGCAAGUGGUGAUGAGAGCUGUAUACUUGAAUUCAGAUUUUUCUGAGUAGCAGUCUGCAGUCAUUAGGGCAGCACUUAGACCCCAGAGGCUUUUUCCAUGUUUUCAUCCUGUUUCAGUAACCGUGUCUCUUGUUAUCUUGUUCCUGAAUAUUUUCUCUAGUAAGAGGAUGCUGUUUGUUGCAGCUGUUAAACCUCAAAUGUCUUGCAUCUCCCUUAGGGAAGAGAGGGGAGAGUUCCUGAGGUUUCUGUGUAAGCAGACUGUAGAAACACCUACGUGUCUUUCCCAAAUAUACAGCCAGGAGGUAUUAUUGGUGCUGUCCUAACCAGCUGAUGGAAUCUGGCUGGUUCAGCCUGUGAUUCCUCCCUCUUGCUGGCUCACUGUGUUGAAGAGGUUUGUUGUUUUUUUUCUUUUUUUUUGGCAUGUAGUGGUACUGGAUGGCUCUGGUUGCUUUUGUCAGAGCAGUGUAACUAGGAGGUGUCAAAGGAAAUUAUGGAUGUUUGUUCGGUUUCCUGGCUGGAUGUACCAUGUGGGUUUUGGAGAAAUGUGCAUUGAAUAAACAUUGGGUAAAUCUCCUAGGACUAGCACUGCCUGGGAGUGGUGUUGGGAGCUGUGCUUAUCUUCAUGGCAGGAUUUAAAAAGAAACGUUUGUAUGAGAAGAGUUUUGCGCCCUGUGUUUGGUUCCCAUCGGUUCAGUGAUUUGUGAUGUUGCUCCGUCUGUUCCCUUUAAAGCCAGCUGGCCAACCUUAGGAGAGGAUUAUCUGAGUAAAAUUCUCCAAAGCCUAUAUUGCUGUCAGAAUUCUUUCUUUUCCUCCUCUUUCGCAGUGCCAGAGGCCAGCCCGAGCCCAGGUGUGACCACUGCCACGUUUAAAAUGUUGGGGCCAGCCCUUGGGAUUUCUGGAUCCCCUUGGGAGACAGAUUGUGCCCCAUUUGUUCCCCUUCACUGGGUGGCCAUGGGUGAGAGGGCAGAGCCAGUGGGGAUGGACACUGCCAGGAGGGGUGGGAGCUCUGUCCCAGGUGGUGACAGCUUGGUGCCUUUGCCAGGAGUGGCCUGUCCUGAGAUGGGAAUCCAAAGCAGUGUGUGCCAUGGUCCCCUUGUCCCUGCUGCCCCCACAGGCCAUGCUCCCUCCUCUCCAGGGGGAUGCUUGGUGACAGGAAGAAGCCCUGUGGUGGCAAGAAGAAGCCCUGACCAAGUGCCAGGUGCCCCAGAACCUGGCAGGGAGCAUAGGGGCACCUUCCCAGGCAGGGACAGCCUGGCUUGGGCAUGGGGCUGGCUCCUGUGUUCUCUGGGACAUUGGCCAGGAGCAGCCAAGUGGCUGUGGUGCCCAAGCCUUGCUUCAUGAGCUUGUGUGGGACAUUUAAUUUUGCCUUCAUCUUGGGAGGUGACAUUUCACAGCUGUGCUAGUGAGUGCAACCCAUGCCAACCCUCACCACCAGUCUGUUGCUGCUGUGAGGUGAAGGAGGGGCAUGGCCUCAGCAGCUCCUUUGGGAUUGCAGUCCCAGCUUCCUGGCCCUGCAGCCCUCCCUUCUCCCUGUCUUUUUGCUGGUCUCCUCCAGCUGUGUGGGUCCCCGACAGACCUGGAGCGUGUGUGGUGUUUUGGUGCAGCUGCUGAAUUUGUUCAGCUUGCAUCAGUCCUUCGCUGUUAAGGCUUAUAAUCAGUGUAAAAUCUCUGGGGUGCAGCUAUUUGCAGGAAAAAAACAACCCACUGCACCCUUCCAGACUUGCAUCAAACAAGAGUUUUAUUCUCAUUAAUUGAAUUCCUCUAGAGUCUGAUAACUUGGGCAUGUUGAAAUCAGAUAAAUAAAACCCUCCCUCCCUGGUAGCUGUGUAAGCCUUUCCUUAACUCCCUGAUCAGAGGGGACUAGCUUUGCUAAGUAAGUAGCUGAAGAUGAAAACUUCUGCAUACGUCUGCUCACUGGGGAGUGUAGGCAGGGGGAUGCUCAGAGUGGUGUAUUUAGGAACGGUUUACCAUCCCCCACCCUUCCUUUUCUCAGUUGAUUAGGAAAGGUUUUUUUGUUUAGUGACAAAUGCUAUUUAGUUAGUCACUCUCAAACACAUCGUCUGUGUCAAGAAGCUGGGACUCUGCUUUCUUUCAGACCUUCAGAUAAACCUGCAGCCCUACAAAAUGGCAAGUCUGCUCUUGCUGAAGUCAGGGUGUAUCGCCUUUGGAGCAUCUCUCAGGCUGUGCUGCCCCUCUCAUCUCGUGGAUGCCGAGACGGGCUGCUCUGGGAGGCAGAAGGGCGUUUGGACUGGUGCCCGAGGGGUGGUGUGGCUGAGCUGAUUCUGUAAUCCUGAAAAAAUCCAACUUGCAGCUUUUCCCAGACUCCAUACAUCAAAUGAGACUUGCAGUCAUUAAGGUCAUGUCCCUUUCUGUGUUGUAUCUCUCGUGUGUAGUUCUUGUCUUGGUGCUGAAGGCUGGGGCCCCUCUUGAUCAGCAGAUGCUGUUGGUUAGUCCAAAGUCAUUCCUCCCUGUGCCUGGGUCACCCAUGCCAUAAGGAGGUACCUGGCUUGCCAGCCAGUCUUGAUUUUCAGUCAGCACUGCUCCUCCCCUUCAGGGUCUUUGUGUUUUUCUUGUCCUCUGCCACUCCUGCUGCUGCUUUUUUUGUGUACCCUGGAUUUGGAUUUCCCCCCACUCCUCUUUUUUUUGGCAUUUCUCCCCCAUAGCUGUUUACACCACCCAUGCAGUGGCAUCUCUCCUCAUCCCCAGGACACUUUUUCUGCCCUCUCCCAUCUCCAGCCCCACCAUCUGCUGCUUCUGCUCCUGCUGUAGUGUAGUGGCAUGAGGCUGGCAUGAGUCCUCUGACCACACUGACCUCCCCAUCUCAGAGCCUAGCCUCUUCCCUCUCUGCCUUGUCUCUUGUCAACUGUUUUAAUUUUUGCUUUACUGAAUGCUGAUGGUGGUAUUGCCCCCCAAGCUUGGAUAGGCCCUUCUCCACCUUCAGAUUUGCUCCUCAAGCUGUAACAACUUUAUGAAGAGAACUGGCAUACAAAUUAUGGUCUGUCUUCACCUGUUGGUUUUCUCUGUCCUGCUUUCCUUCUCCAUGCUUUUCACAAAAA